rnacentral:rRNA from 1 species
GAUGAACGCUGGCGGCGUGCUUAACACAUGCAAGUCGAACGAACCUUCGGGUUAGUGGCGGACGGGUGAGUAACGCGUGAGAAUCUGCCCUCAGGAGGGGGAUAACGGUUGGAAACGACCGCUAAUACCCCAUAUGCCUAUUGGUGAAACGAAUUUCGCCUGAGGAUGAGCUCGCGUCUGAUUAGCUUGUUGGUGAGGUAAUGGCUCACCAAGGCUUCGAUCAGUAGCUGGUCUGAGAGGAUGAUCAGCCACACUGGGACUGAGACACGGACCAGACUCCUACGGGAGGCAGCAGUGGGGAAUUUUCCGCAAUGGGCGAAAGCCUGACGGAGCAACGCCGCGUGAGGGACGAAGGCCUUUGGGGCUGUAAACCUUCUUUUCUCAAAGGAAGAAGAUAUGACGGUACCAAAGGAAUCAGCCUCGGCUAACUCCGUGCCAGCCGCCGCA